rnacentral:rRNA from 1 species
GUUUGAUCCUGGCUCAGGAUGAACGCUAGCUACAGGCUUAACACAUGCAAGUCGAGGGGAAACGAUAUUGAAAGCUUGCUUUCGAUAGGCGUCGACCGGCGCACGGGUGAGUAACGCGUAUCCAACCUGCCCAUAACUAAGGGAUAAUCCGUAGAAAUGCGGUCUAAUACCUUAUGUGAUCCGAGGAAGACAUCUGAUUUGGAUUAAAGAUUUAUCGGUUAUGGAUGGGGAUGCGUCUGAUUAGAUUGUUGGCGGGGCAACGGCCCACCAAGUCUGCGAUCAGUAGGGGUUCUGAGAGGAAGGUCCCCCACAUUGGAACUGAGACACGGUCCAAACUCCUACGGGAGGCAGCAGUGAGGAAUAUUGGUCAAUGGGCGGNAGNNUGAACCAGCCAAGUAGCGUGCAGGAUGACGGCCCUAUGGNUUGUAAACUGCUUUUGUAUGGGGAUAAAUUGCUCCACGUGUG